CCGUUAAGGAGAGAAAUCCAUUUGGUUUUCACAGUGCAAUUAAAAACGAUGAUGAUUGAGUCACUUGUUUCUCCUUCUAUUUCUACUGUUAUGCUCUGUUUUUCUCUCUCUCCAUCAUUUCUCACCAAUUCCAAUCCCAAUUCUUCAAAAUCAAAUCCAAAUUCCUUUCUUUUACUGUUCCACUUCUUAGGAUCCGCCAUGAAUGCUUAUUAGCCUCAGUUAUUUUCCUUACUUUUUCGCUCUCUCCUUUUUUAACUUGUCGUGCUCUUCUUUGUAUGAUGAUGACCCAGCUUCUUCACCUUUUUACCCCACCCACCCCCUCUUCUUCUCCUUCUUACUCUGCUCUCUUGUACAGCUGAUCCACCCUCCCCCUCUUAAAAACCCCACCUUGACCCUCCUUCUACCUUUUGACCUACUAAUCUCUCUCUUUUUUAGUUCUAGGGUUUCCUUUUUCUUCUUGAUCCUUUGUUUUCUCUUCCUCUCCUCCUCCUCCUCCUCUUUAGCUCUCGCUUCAAACCACCCUUCUCUUCUUUUUGUAUAUUCCUGUAGAUUUUCUCUAUCUUUUCUGCCAAUUUUUAGGGGGUUAUUUUCUGUUUAUAAUGAGGUGGGGUUUUUACUUGAUCAACUUUUGUAUAACGUGAAUAGCUUCUUGUUUCUGGUCUAAAAGUAAUUUUCCCUUAGUUCUUCUUCUCUUCGUUUUUCCAAUCAAAUUUGGGUUUAUGGCUUAUCAACAACAGCAGGGAGCAGUUGGGGGUUCAGGUUCUGCUCCAUUUUAUAAUUCUCCAUUUGGGGACACUACUUUUACUAAGGUCUUUGUUGGAGGCCUUGCUUGGGAAACUCAGAGUGAAACCCUCAGGCGAUACUUUGAGCAGUUUGGUGAUAUCCUUGAGGCUGUUGUCAUCACUGAUAAAAAUACUGCCCGAUCCAAAGGCUAUGGCUUUGUGACUUUCCUGGACCCAGAGUCCGCGAGGAGAGCUUGUGCUGAUCCUGCUCCAAUUAUCGAUGGGAGGCGAGCAAAUUGUAAUUUGGCUUCGUUAGGGCGACCUCGGCCUACUGUGCCAUUUGGACGUCUGAGGUCAUCAACUCCAUUUCCAUCAGGUCUACCAGCUGCUCGGGGUGCUUAUGUUGGAAGCUUUGGCUACCAGCAACCGGUUUCUUAUGGCUACCAGCAAGGCUUGAUGUAUUCUCCCUAUGGGUAUGCAACAUAUGGUGCGGAUUACGUUUACCCUCAGGGUGUUUACAAUCCUUAUGGAGGUCAACAGUACCUUCCUAUAUAUGGUGUACCUGGAAGUGUUAACACAACAAUGUAUCCUUACGGCCAGCUAAGUCAGGCUGUUCCUGGAAGUCACAGUUAUACAACAUUGCAGGGUUAUGCAGUGCCAGGUCAUCAGAUUCUUCAGUUUGGCGGGCCUAGUGUCAAUGCAAUGACAGCUUCAUCCAUUCCAACUAUUCAAGCACCAUACCCAGCAGGUGUCGGAGCGCCUGUUACUCCACAGCCACAGUUUAUACUACCUACUCAUUCUCCUCAAUUUAUGCAAGGUAGCGGUUCUGACCACAAUGCAGGGUGAUAUUUUAUCAAGGUAUCCUAGAUUGCAGCAGGACUAAAAGAAGCAGUACUGCAGUACUGCUACUUGAGAGGCGGGCUUUCAAUCUAACCUUGCAAAUGUUCACUACUUCACUUUGCAUUCUAGAGGUUAUAAAAAAGUCAAAGUCAAUACUCACCAUGAGAGCUCAAUGUCUGAGUCGCUCCUGAUGAUUGAGUGAGGAAACAUGGAAGUUGCGGAUUGCACUUCCUUCAACAUCAUCAUCUUAUUGUACUUGCAUUCUGCCGGUGUUGGGAUAACUGGCAGAGAGUCAGUCGACGUCAUGCAUUUGAGGGAUGCUGGAAUAGGUUUCUGGCUCCCUCCCUGUAGCAAUAAAUAAACACUGUAAAAAUUCACAUCAGAAUCAACAUAUGAUUCUUUCAUAGUCAAAACUCCCCAGCAUGUUUGGGUGUGUAGAUAGUCUUGAGUGUUGGUGCAUCAUGCGCACUGUGUUUAAUAGUAUUCUCAAAGUCUUGUGCAUAAAACAAUCUCGAGUCUUUUAAUUGACAUUCAUUCUGUAAUUUGGAUUAUUUAUUGAGAGCUCAGCUCUGAAGUAAGUAGCUUCAGGAUCUCAAGGCCACGGGAA